UUUUUUUUGUCAUUGUCAGAGCCGUUACGAUUAAUCGAUUAGUUGCCAACUAUUAAAUUAAUCGCCAACUAUUUUGAUAAUCGGUUUGAGUAAUUUCAUAACAAAAGAAAGUCAAAAUGCUCUGAUUCCAUCUUCUUAAAUGUGAAUAUUUUCUGGUUUCUUUAUUCAUCUAUGAUAGUAAACUGAACUCUUUGAGUUGUGGACAAAACAAGACACUAGAGGACGUCAUCUUGGGCUUUGAGAAACACUG